AACGAACGCUGGCGGCAUGCCUAACACAUGCAAGUCGAACGAGACCUUCGGGUCUAGUGGCGCACGGGUGCGUAACGCGUGGGAACCUGCCCUUAGGUUCGGAAUAACUCCCCGAAAGGGGUGCUAAUACCGGAUAAUGUCUUCGGACCAAAGAUUUAUCGCCUUUGGAUGGGCCCGCGUUGGAUUAGCUAGUUGGUAGGGUAAAAGCCUACCAAGGCGACGAUCCAUAGCUGGUCUGAGAGGAUGAUCAGCCACACUGGGACUGUGACACGGCCCAGACUCCUACGGGAGGCAGCAGUGGGGAAUAUUGGACAAUGGGCGAAAGCCGGAUCCAGCAAUGCCGCGGGAGUGAUGAAGGCCUUAGGGUUGUAAAGCUCUUUUACCCGGGAUGAUAAGGACAGGACCGGGAGAAUAAGCUCCGGCGAACUCCGU
rnacentral:rRNA from 1 species